rnacentral:rRNA from 1 species
CACGUAGGGUGCGAGCGUUGUCCGGAAUUAUUGGGCGUAAAGAGCUCGUAGGCGGUGUGUCGCGUCGGCCGUGAAAACCUGCAGCUUAACUGUGGGCUUGCGGUCGGAUACGGGCAUCACUGGAGUUCGGCAGGGGAGACUGGAAUUCCUGGUGUAGCGGUGAAAUGCGCAGAUAUCAGGAGGAACACCGGUGGCGAAGGCGGGU